rnacentral:rRNA from 1 species
CCUACGGGAGGCAGCAGUGGGGGAUAUUGCACAAUGGGGGGAACCCUGAUGCAGCGACGCCGCGUGGGUGAAGAAGCGCCUCGGCGUGUUAAGCCCCGUUAGCAGGGAAGCAAAUGACGGUACCUGAAGAAGAAGCCCCGGCUAAAUACGUGCCAGCAGCCGCGGGAAUAAGUGGGGGGCAGGCGUUAUACGGAUUUAAUGGGGGUAAAGGGGGCGCAGGCGGGGAUGCAAGCCAGGAGUGAAAGCCCGGGGCCCAACCCCGGGACUGCUGUUGACACUGCGUGGCCGGAGUGCAGGAGGGGCAGGCGGAAUGCCUGGUGUAGCGGUGAAAGGCAUAGAUAUCAGGAGGAACACCGGUGGCGAAGGCAGCCUGCUGGACUGCAACUGACGUUGAGGCCCGAAAGCGUGGGGAGCGAACAGGAUUAGAUACCCGUGUAGUC